rnacentral:lncRNA from 1 species
CUGCGGGUUAAGAAUCCUGAACUAGGGAGUAGGUUGGCAAAGGGACAGCUGACAAUAAGUAUGGCUAGAGUCAAGUGGGGUGGGGUGGAGGACAGUUCCCAGGAAGGAUAGGGGCUGGAGGGGUGCUGAAGUGAGGGCACGAGGGAGCUUUGGGAGGGAGGCCUGGGUUCUGCCUUCUAGCAGAGGAAGCAGCCAAACAGCAGAAGGAACUUUCAGGCCGGAGGCUGGACCAAGUGACCUCACCCAAACACUGUGGUCUGCUGCUAUUGCAACCUGGCGAGUCUCCCAGCUCUCCUGGGUCCCCAAGUAGGAGAGCUUUUUAUAGUUCACUCCCCAACUUAGGUUUGAAUAAUUAAACAAGACGGACAGAAAUAGCAGCCGGACAGUGAAGGCAGGUUAUUUUGGGGUUUUCUGGAACACAGUGCUCCUGGGUGUCACCCCACCCCUGCAGGGGGGCGGAGCUAACAUCAAGGCUGAUGGGAGAUUCCUGUGGGGGAAACCCACCCACACCCCCAGGGUUCCUUGUGUUGAGGAGGUUGCUCUCAGCCAGAGGAGGGUCUCACCACUUCUUCCUCCUCCUCAAGGAAAGAGAGGGCUCUCACCGCCUUCUGAUCAUAGCUAUUCCCCUGGCAGGAAGUCCCUCCUGUUGUCUGUCUGGCCUUCUACUUCAGAGAUGGUGACAGAUAUUGAAAAUCAGAUCAAUAAGCAGCUGCAAGACAGGCUGAACAAGGACAAGGUGGCUACUGCUCCUCUGGCCAAGGAACUGGAACCAGGUGAUAGGAGAGGUCUGAAGGCUGAAUUCCCAGGCCUGAUCCUAAGAAGUCUUUUCCAGCAGCCUUGGAUCUCUUCAGUCUCAACAUUCUGCUUUCCCGACGUCGGAAACAGCCGGAAAAUAAACACCCUGAUGACUAAACGGUUUCUCCAGCUAAAGCCUAGGGAAGCACUAAAAAUAGAGGCCACAAGUGAGGGGAGGUUCCCCACUUGAGGGGGGUUGGCACUUUCCCAUCCUGCUACUGCCAUAGCCUCAAGCCUGGCACAAGGCUCUGUUCUUCUCUGCCCUUGGGGGAAGAGGCAGAUGGGCUCCCCCUGCCUACCCUGAAGUCUUUUGGGCAAACUAGCCCUGCCUGGCAGGGGUAACUCACAUCUUCUGGUGUUGGGGGCCUAGCCUCCCAGACCCAAUGAGGAACUGAGAAGCUAUAUUUGGGGACACGGUGGGACACUGUUUCCUGAAACGGGGGUCAGGUAGAAGGGUUGGAAACUGAGGCCAAGGAAAUAGGAGCUUGCUGGCUUCCUGUCUUAGGACACACAAGAUAAGUCUCCAACCUGUUUGCAGAGCAAGUCCACUGAACUCAUCUCCUUUGAGGCUUGCAUGGGCCAAUGGAGGCCUAGAGGGUUCUUUGCAGACCAGCCCUUGGCCCAACGGUCUGGUUUGUGUUAUUAUACAGUAUAAGACAUUGUGCUAAGCAUUCUGCUUAGAAGAACUAAUUUAAUCUUCACACUAAAUUUCUGAGUUAGCUACUAUUAUCACCAUCUCUUGUCUACCCAUGAGGACCAUGAGGUAGGGGGAAGUUAAAUAAUGUGCCUGUGUUCACAGUUAAUGAAUGGUGGAGUGAGGAUCUGAACCACGGCAGCUUGACUGCAAAGCUGACAUUUCUAACCACUUUCUCUAUAUAUUGAAGUCAUUGUCCGGUAAAUCAGAUCCAGCCAGAUAGAAAUCAGGGUGUGUGUCUGGGCGCGGUGGCUCACGCCUGUAAUCCUAGCACUUUGGGAGGCCGAGGCGGGCGGAUUGCCUGAGCUCAGGAGUUCGAGACUAGCCUGGGCAACACGGUGAAAUCCCGUCUCCACUAAAAUACAAAAAAUUAGCCGGGAGUGGCGGCAUGCGCCUGUCGUCCCAGCUACUCGGGAGGCAGGAGGCGAGGCAGGAGAAUAGCUUGAACCUGGGAGGCGGAAGUUGCAGUGAGCCAAGAUCGCGCCACUGCACUCUAGCCUGGGCGACAGAACAAGACUCCGUCUCAAAAAAAAAAAAAAAAAAAAAAAAAGCGGGGGUUUGGAAAAACUGAGUGCCCUUCUGUUCUGCAAGGUUCUUUGAGAUCUAAGCCAGAUGCCAUCAUUUCCUUACGCUCCUGGGACAAAGCAGCAGGACUUGGAAGUAACACGGAUACUGAAGAGGACGGGUCAGUUGUCCAGUAGGCAUGGCACCCACACUCCUGUUGUAGGGCACGUAAAGAUUCACCACACCCUGGAGCAACCAGGAAUUUGAAAAUAAAAAAAAAUUGAAGAGCUACUACUGCUCCUUU